rnacentral:lncRNA from 1 species
UUUUCAUUUAUUUUUUAUUGCAAGGUUUUAACAAUAAUGGCAAUUUGCUACUGUGGAUAUUUAUGUUAAAGACCUCAAGAUUAUAUUUAUUAAUUCAGUUAAACAACAUGAUGAAAACUACAUGGUUGCUUCAGUGGAUGUUGAUCUUUUUCAUAUCAAGAUUAAACCGAUAUCAUUGGAUGUGGUUUCCUUUGCGUACGAAAUCGACUCUUUCUAUCUAUGGAUGUCACAGUUUUGUUUGCUUCAAAAUCUAGGCUUUUUUCAAAGCCACAAUUCUGUUAAAAACAUU